UCGACAUGUUCUGUGAGAGGAGUUGUGUGUCAGGGAGCAGUGUCUUAAUCCUAUUGUCGCCUGUGCUGUGUUAUAGUAUGGGGCAGCCAGGGGGAAUGCUGGCUUGAAUGCCACAAUGGACGCAAAGGCAUGGGACUUGGAGUAGAUCCUUUGGAAGUGUGAUUUCAGUGGAGUACCUAUAUCUCAAGACCCUCAGCAGGACUUCUGAAAGAUUGUGGACAUGAUCCCCUCUGCCUGCUCCACUCCCAUCUUCAGACCAACUUAUAGCAAAGGGUAAAAGGAGGGGACUCUUUUCCAUUCUGUUCCUAGAGUCCUAAUCCCAACAGAGCAAGUUUGGAUCUGGAGGUUACAUCUCCCAAGGCUCACCUUUGUUUAUUUUUAUCUCCUAGCCAAUAGUACCAUCCCUUUUUAAAAAAUCCCAGUGCCCAAACAUUUCUCAGCAAUGAAUUAAAUACAAAGGCCAUGCAAUAAAUGAGAUACCUCAACAGGCCGACACCCUACAGAGGGUUAUACACAUAUUAGCAGAAAUGUAAAUAAUGGGAUAUGGAGCAGAACAGACUGGUUACAGAAAUGGUGUAUCUUGACUGGCCUGCAAAAUCUGACAGAGUCUCCAGGGCCAAAUGCAACUACUCAGACAAAAAAAAGAAAAAAAAAGGAAAAAAGAAAAUUAGACAGACAGUGGCAAGUCUAGGCAGAAGCAAUGAGGAAUGACAAACAGACUAUAUGAAAUGGGAGGUUCCCGGAGGACUGGAGGAUAAAGGGUAAUCCUUAGGAGGUAGGCAGUUUCCUGAUUUAUGCUUGGGAAAUUGCACUUGCCGUGUCAACCACGGUUGUGCACAUUUUAUGAGUGUGGAAGAGAUUGGUUUGGGCAAGAGCAGAGAACAGUAGGAAGCAAUUACCUCUUGCCUGUUUACUCCCAUCUUUUCACUGCUGUGUCUCUGCAAGGACAGGAGUCUGGGGACGCAAUUGGCGAGUAACUUACAGUUGGAAGACCUGGAUUCUAAUCUCAGCAUCACAGUUUACCAUGGUGUAGGCCAGUUAUGAAACUCUGAAAAUGAAAGUUUCUGUUCUGUAUAAACUGGAAAUGACAUCACUUCCACUGCUCCCCCCCGUGGGUUCCUGCGAGAAUCAAACAAAAACAGACAACGCUUUCUGAAGUCACUUCGCUCACUUUCAACACUACAAAAAUUAAGGAACUGCUACAAGGUACUGUGCAAGAAAUAACAGGCACCUGGGAAAACCCACAAAGUAUUGUUUCGUAAAGAUGUUGCUUAGCCUCCCAAAGAGAAAAAUGCUUGGCUCAAGAUUGACCAAGAUGAACAAGUGCGGGGAAUUACAACGUGAGAGUUGCCCAAGAAGGCUGCCUUGUAAUGUACCAUGAUUUACUCUUCUAUCACAAACAACAGAAGAAUUUCCAGACUUUGAAAGCUGACAAGGGAAAGAAGGAGGAAACAAAAGGAAAUGUUUAUGCCUCCUCAUUUUAACAUGGCUCCUUCAGAAAUCUGAUACUGAAUAUCUUCCUGCAUCUGGAGGAAAGAAGAAAGAGACUAUACAGCCAUUCUGUACAUAAUGUUGAAAUAAAACUCGCUAUUGUCCACUGAGACAAUAGAACUAGCCUAUAAUAAUGUGGUACAAGUAGAGCAUAAAUGACAUAAGCCAGCAAUGCAAUCUUUGUUCCAGUGUAAUCUUCCAUAUCAACCAUCUACACUCCCUGGAGGUGGCGACUUUACCUGCUACACCAUAGCGUCGGCUCCUGCUCCAGGACAACUGAACAUUUAAAAAAAAUCGAAAUGCACUGGAAGAAAAUACAUAUUUUAUCUUUGCUUUGCUUGAGAGUAGAAAGAAAAGGACACUGGUAUAAAUGUUGGUUUAUUAUUUCUGAUAUGCCAUUGAUGUCUUGACACAUUGUGUCUCAGUGUCUGUCACAUAGAGAUAUUCACUAAUACUUAUGAAUGAAUAAAUGUUCACUCAUUAUUGGUGUAUGGGAUACAACAAUGAGCAAAAAUCUUAUAUUCUAGAGUUGGAGACUAUGAUAUACAUGUAAUUAUUCAAAGGAAAGAAUGUUAAGAAGAAAAAAGAAAGCAAUGGGAAAAAGUUCUGUUCUGAACUUGUGGAAUUCCAGAGUAAAGGUUUUCUUUGCAGAUCUCAUGGGUAGCUUCUUGGUCAGAGGACAUUUAGUGAUGUGAGGUACCAUUCUCAGAAGACAUCUGGAAACAAGGGCUCAAGCAAAAGAAAAAGCAAAUGCAAAGACUGGUGGGCCAGCACAGGUCUGGUGUUUCCAAAGCUAUAAAAUUGGUGUGCCUGGAACAGUGGUGGGAGGACACAUGAUCAGAGAGGUAAAGGGGGGGUGUGUGUGAAAUAGGAUCAUGGAUGAAUCUUCUAGGUAAUGUUAAGGAGUUUGAAUUGUAUUCCCAAUGAGAUGGGUAAUUACUCAAGGCUAGAAACAGCAGAAAGGAGGAUAUCAUAUUUUGAAAAUGGUCAUGAAUAAAGGGAAAAUGGGUUUAGGCUUUAAUGAGGAAAUGUACUUUAGAUGCCCAAAAUUCAUCUUUUAAGACUUUGAAUCAGAAAAAUUUAUCAAGAAGCAAUAAUAUUUCUGAUUUCAUGAGAUGCUUAGAAAAAGCACGUUUAUGGCCAGCGUUUAUGGCUAGGUUAAUCCUCUGCCUGCGGCACUGGUACUCUGGGUUCUAGUCUCGGUUGGGGCGCUGGUUCUGUCCAGGUUGCUCCUCUUCCAGUCCACCUCUCAGCCGUGGCCCAGGAAGGCAGUGGAGGAUGGCCCAAGUCCUUGGGCCCUGCCCAGGCAUGGGAGACCAGGAGGGGGCACCUGGCUCCUGGCUUCAGAUCGGCUCGGCCUGGUGCACUGGCUGUGGCAGCCAUUUGGGGGGUGAACCAAUGGAAGGAAGACCUUUCUCUCUGUUUCUCUGUCUCACUGUCUAACUCUGCCUGUCAAAAAAAAAAAAAAAAAAAAAAAAAAAAAAAAAGAAGAAGAAAAGAAAAGAAAUUGGCUCUUUCAUUAAAAAAAAAAAAAGAAAAAGCACAUUUAUUUGAUAUGAAGUACUGCCCAGUGAGAGGAUCAAUGUGCUUUUUUCUCCAACAACUUAAACUAACCCACAGUCAAUUUGAUCAUGCACUCAAACUGAUUUCAUAAUUAAGACCACCAGGAAAACUGGAACAUUGUCUCCCAUCAGUGGGCAUGUCCCAGGAUAACCAUCCACUUGACUGUCUCUAGGACAGUGGUUCUUCUACAUCUGACCUAGGAAUAACUUCAAUAGAUCUUUAUUCCAGAAUUUUUUUUUGAGAAUACCACCAAAGUCUGACUAAAACCUAAGAGCAACUUGAGAUGAUGUGUAAUUUAAUAUUCUUUCAAACUGAUAUUUAAAAAAUAUUAGCACAGGUGCUAGCAUUGUAGCUGGGCAGAUAAAGCUACUGCUGGUGAUGCCGGCAUCUUAUAUAGGUGCUAGUUCGAGUCUCAGCUGCCCUACUUCCAAUCCAGCUGCCUGCUAAUGGCCUGGGAAAGCAGCAGAAGAUGGCCCAAGUGUUUGGGCUCUUGUACUCAUGUGGGAGACCUUGAUUAAACUUCUGCUCUUGCCUUUAGCCUAGCUUAGUUCUGUUCAUUGCAGCCAUCUGGGGAGUGAACCAAUGGAUAGGCAAUCUCUCUCUCUCUCUCUCUCUCUCUUUUCUCUCUCUCUGUCUCCUUUUCUCUCUUUGUAGCUCUUUCAUUUAAAAUAUAAAGUAUUAUCCCAGUACUCACAUUGGUGGGAAUUCAGAUUAAUGAAUGAGUUAUUAUUAAAUAUUAUGUACAAGCCAUAUAAUUACAAAUCACCUUCAGUGCCCAAUAAAAACACUCUGUUGAAAGAAAAAUUUUGGAAAGACAAUUUUUUCUUAUUUUGCUCUGAUUCUCCUUUUCUUUACUGCUUUAUUCUGAAAUUUUCUAAAGCCUUGAUUCAUUUAAGAUACAGUAAAAUUUUAAACUUCAGAUAGUAAAAUAAAGCAUUCCUAUAAAGAGCACUAUACCAUUGUCAGAAUUCAGUGAUCUGUGAUCAUGAUUUUCAGUUGAUGGCCACUACUAUUUCCAAAAAUACUCAAAUGCAAUGGCUUUGCCCUAGGGAAGAAUUCUCUUUUUUCCUUUCCAAGGGCACUAGGAAUGGGAUCAAUGCACAUUGAUUCUUAUAACAUUUUGGUAACCUUUGAGAUUAGUGACCAUUAUUUGCCAAACUGGUUGAUCUUACCAUUAAAGUGGACUGUGGACCCUAUAUUUAUGUUGUACACAAUAUUGCCACAUAAGAUUUGCUCAAGGACCAUGACAGAGACUUGAUAAGCUAGAUGAGACUUAGGAUAGAGUGGUCAAUGACAACUUGAAGAAUUGUGGAGACAUCUACUCUAUCUCUUGUCUUACACACCAUUGAGACUACUGCAAAAGUCUCUUCCUUUCCUGUGAAUCAUUGCUUAUUUUAUCCCCUUGCAGAACACAAUACUCACAAGAAUUAAGGUAUUAAUACAUGUUUGUUGGUUUUGAUUUCUGUUUGUUUUGAAUGAUGAUUAUGGCUGUCCUAGUUUUUUUUAGAAAUUGCAGUAAGGAGUUAGAUGAUGUUUGUGCUUGCCAACCAAGGCUUUAGAAAAAUAGAAUAUCUCUUAUUUAAAAAAGGUCAUAGUCAAAGUAGAAGUUCUCUCCUCCCUUCAGAGAAAGGUACCUCCUUCUUUGAUGGCCCGUUCUUUCCACUGGGAUCUCACUCACAGAGAUCUUUCAUUUAGGUUUUUUUUUUUUCUUUGCCAGAGUGUCUUGGCUUUCCAUGCCUAAAACACUCUCAUGGGCUCUUCAGCCAUAUCUGAAUGCCUUAAGGGCUGAUUCUGAGGCCAGAGUGCUGUUUAGGACAUCUGCCAUUCUAUGAGUCUGCUGUGUAUCCUGCUUCCCAUAUUGGAUCAUUCUCUCCUUUUUAAUUCUAUCAGUAAUUAUUAGCAGACACUAGUCUUGUUUAUGUGAUCCCUUUGACUCUUAAUCCUAUUAUUAUGAUUAAUUGUGAACUGAAACUGAUCACUUUGACUAGUGAGAUGGCAUUGGUACCUGCUACCUUGAUAGGAUUGAAUUGGAAUCCCCUGGCACGUUUCUAACUCUACCACUUGGGGCAAGUCCAAUUGAGCAUGUCCCAAAUUGUACAUCUCCUCCCUUUCUUAUUCCCACUCUUACAUUUAACAGAGAUCACUUUUCAGUUAAGUUGAAACACCUAAGAAUAAUUCUGUGUUAAUUAAAGAGUUCAACCAAUAGUAUUAAGUAGAACAAAAAAAAAAAAUACUAAAUGGGAUAAAGUGUUAAGUUGUUCCUUGACAGUCAGGACAAGGACUGAUCAAGUCAUUUUUUCUCAUAGUGUCCAUUUCACUUCAACAGGUUUUCCUUUUCGGUGCUCAGUUAGUUGUCACUGAUCAGGGAGAACAUAUGAUAUUUGUCCCUUUGGGACGGGCUUAUUUCACUCAGCAUGAUGUUUUCCAGAUUCCUCCAUUUUGUUGCAAAUGACUGGAUUUCAUUUUUUUUUUUUACUGCUGUUUAGUAUUCUAUAGAGUACAUAUCCCAUAAUUUCUUUAUCCAGUCUACUGUUGAUGGGCAUUUAGGUUAAUUCUCAAAAGGCUUCCAUAGCCUUGGCAACUCAUGACAAGAGCCUUGGGUGAUUACUGGCGCCAUAAACAAGAAUGUCAAUUGUUAAAUCAACAACAGGAGUCACUGUGCACUUACUCCCCAUGUAGGAUCUCUGUCCUUAAUGUGUUGUACUAUGUGAAUCAAUGGUAUAACUAGUAAUCAAACAGUACUUUACACUUUGUGUUUCUGUGUGGGUGCAAACUGUUGAAAUCUUUACUUAAUAUAUACUAAAGUGAUCUUCUAUAUAUAAAGAGAAUUGAAAAUGAAUCUUGAUGUGAACGGGAUGGGAGAGGGAACGGGAGAUGGGAGGAAAGCCACUGUAAUCUAAAAGCUGUACUUUGGAAAUUUAUAUUUAUUAAAUAAAAGUUAAAGAAAAAAAACAAA